rnacentral:rRNA from 1 species
UACGUAGGGUGCGAGCGUUUAAUCGGAAUUACUGGGCGUAAAGCGUGCGCAGGCGGCGCGUUAAGACAGGUGUGAAAGCCCCGAGCUUAACUUGGGAAUUGCGCUUGUGACUGGCGAGCUGGAGUGUGGCAGAGGGAGGUGGAAUUCCACGUGUAGCAGUGAAAUGCGUAGAGAUGUGGAGGAACACCGAUGGCGAAGGCAGCCUCCUGGGCCAGCACUGACGCUCAUGCACGAAAGCGUGGGGAGCAAACAGGA